rnacentral:ncRNA from 2 species
GGCCAAGGCACGGGGCGCCGCGUUCGCGCGGCUGAGAUCGCACCCGUUGAACCUGAUCCAGUUAGUACUGGCGAAGGGAUUGUCUGCGGUGAACGGC